UAAGACUCUAUCAGCUUGCCACAGGGCUUUUACAGGUUUCUUUGGAGCACUUUGUACCAGUCACCGUCAGAGAAAAGGUUUUGAACUAGAUGAAUCUGGACCUGCCUAUGCUGGUUACAUCUCUGUAUUGAAACUUCAUUUCUGAGUUGCUGUCCUCUCUGUAGACUCCAGCACUAAAUUACUCGUGAGUUUACUUGAGUUACUAUCAUCUUGUACAGAAUUUUUUUCUGUCACUUCCUAGGUAAUGAGACAUUUUAACAGUAGAUUUUGAACUAAUUCACAGAACUGCACAGAGACCAAACUAUAGCUUGCAUUCCUUGGCUGCCUGUAGAUGUGCAAAUUGCAGUGGAGGCAGGAACCCCCUUGUGCCUGACAACCAACCUGUGAGUACCUGUCUUGGACAAGGACUGUGCUGCCUUCCUCCGUGCAUUUCUCACUUCCAUCCUGGAUCACUGCACGCAUUCUCAUCAGAACAAAGGUAAUCUGAGCUAAUUCAGAAGUGUGCACCUGUACUCUGUAUUGUAUCAUACACAGAUAAUGGCAUGGCAUGGGGGUUAAUCAAUGUAAUGCCUGCCUCAGUAAAAAGCCAGUAAAAACUAAAUGCAGUGAACCUA